UUUCCGUAGGUGAACCUGCGGAAGGAUCAUUACCGAGUCGAGGCGGCACGGCGCUCCCCCGGGGGGUGCCGGCCGCGUACCUCACCACCCGUGCUUAUCUUUACCCGUUGCUUCGGCGGGCCCGCCGCCCAGCCGGCCGCCGGGGGACCUCGCGUCCCCGGGCCAGCGCCCGCCGAAGACCCCCCGAACACUGCCUGAAGGUUGCUGUCUGAGCGAUCAAACAAACAAAACAAAACUUUCAACAACGGAUCUCUUGGUUCCG
rnacentral:misc_RNA from 1 species